rnacentral:rRNA from 1 species
GUAGGGAAUAUUGGGCAAUGGAUGCAAGUCUGACCCAGCCAUCCCGCGUGCCGGAAGAAGGCCCUCAGGGUUGUAAACGGCUUUUGACGGUGAAGAAUCGACAGGAUGCGUCCUGUUUUGACGGUAGCCGUUGAAUAAGCACCGGCUAACUCCGUGCCAGCAGCCACGGUAAUACGGAGGGUGCGAGCGUUGUCCGGAUUUAUUGGGUUUAAAGGGUGCGUAGGCUGGAAGGUCAGUCAGCGGUGAAAAGCUGUCGCUUAACGAUAGUCUUGCCGCAGAUACUUCCUUUCUUGGAUGAGGAGGAGGCCACUGGAACGGAUGGUGUAGCGGUGAAAUGCAUAGAUAUCAUCCAGAACACCGAUUGCGAAGGCAGGUGGCUGUACCUUAAUCGACGCUGAUGCACGAAAGCAUGGGGAGCAAACAGGAUUAGAUACCCUUGUAGUCC